AAUAGUAAUGCAUAUACUCCCAGAUAAACCACACGUAUACCCCUACCCUUUAGAAAACAUCAAUUUAUUUAGAGAAAUAAAAAUAAGAAAAACAUGACAAAAACUCUCAUCCCAAACCCGUCGCCUACUACCUUCUAUGUGUCUCUUUUCUUCUCAAGCAGGAACUCCCCCAAACUUGAAAUUUGAAACCCAAAUUGAUAUCUUGCAGUGGCACACUCCACCCACGAAUAAAUUUUCCGUCGUAGCCACCCCAAUCGACUUGUUCGGGCAGCAGCUGUAGCCGUUUCCGAAUCUGCCGCUGCCACUGUUGUCUCCAUCGCGAACAGCCGCUGCUAUCAGCACUGCACUCCGCGCCGCCGUCUCGCGGUUGGCUGCUGCUCGAGCAGUUAUGAGUUGCUGUUCGGUAGCUCCGGAUCGCUACUCGGCAGCCCCGAAGAUGAUGGGAGGAGAGGAAGACGCUUGAACAUGGAGGAUGAGGAAUCCUUUGCUAAAUUUUAUUUAAUUAUUUUCUUCUAUCCUCAAUUGUAAUCAAGUAAAAGAUUUAGGGAAAGGAGAAACGGUUUUUAACGUGGGUUGAGGGAAGUUUUCGAAUUCUCCAUUUUUUUUGAAUUA